UACGUAGGUGGCAAGCGUUACUCGGAAUCACUAGGCGUAAAGCGCAGGUAGGAGGUUUAGUAAGUUCGUUGUGAAAGCUCCCGGCUUAACUGGGAGAGGUCAACGGAAACUGCUAGGCUAGAGUGUGGUAGAGGUAGCUGGAAUUCCCGGUGUAGCGGUGAAAUGCGUAGAUAUCGGGAGGAAUACCUAUGGCGAAAGCAGGCUACUGGACCAUCACUGACUCUGAUCUGCGAAAGCUAGGGGAGCAAACAGG
rnacentral:rRNA from 1 species